rnacentral:rRNA from 1 species
CGCCAGGAGCAGCAGCAGCGCCACAUCGGCACCGCCGCGCACCUUGCCGCCGGAGGCUUCGCGGGCGUCGUCAGCAAGACCUGCACCACGCCCCUCGCCCGCCUCACCAUCCUCUUCCAGGUGGCAGGUAUGCAUUCAGAUGCUGCAGCUCUAAGGAAGUGUAGUAUAUGGCACGUGGCUUUGCGGAUUUUUGGGGCAUUUUGGAAAGGCAAUCUUGUCACCAUUGUACAUCGAUUACCUUAUUCCGCCAUGAGCUUCUAUUCUUAUGAGCGAUACAAAAAGCUUCUCGGAAUGGUGCCUGGCCUAGAUGACCCAAAUUAUGUUAGUGUCGUACGUUUACUUGGUGGUGGUCUAGCGGGAGUGACAGCUGCAUCUGUAACUUACCCGUUGGAUGUUGUUCGAACUCGUUUGGCAACACAGGUACACUUUUCUUCUUUUUGUGAAUAA